rnacentral:rRNA from 1 species
GAAACGACUGCUAAGACUGGAUAGGAAAUAAAAAGGCAUCUUUUUAUUUUUAAAAGACCUUUUUCGGAAGGUAUGCUUAAAGAGGGGCUUGCGUCACAUUAGUUAGUUGGCAGGGUAAAGGCCUACCAAGACUAUGAUGUGUAGCUGGACUGAGAGGUUGAACAGCCACAUUGGGACUGAGACACGGCCCAAACUCCUACGGGAGGCAGCAGUAGGGAAUUUUCGGCAAUGGAGGAAACUCUGACCGAGCAACGCCGCGUGAACGAUGAAGUAUUUCGGUAUGUAAAGUUCUUUUAUUGAAGAAGAAAAAAUAGUGGAAAAACUAUCUUGACGAUAUUCAAUGAAUAAGCCCCCGCAAACUAUGUGCCAGCAGCCGCGGUAAUACAUAGGGGGCAAGCGUUAUCCGGAAUUAUUGGGCGUAAAGGGUGCGUAGGCGGUUUAAUAAGUCUGUAGUUUAAUUUCAGUGCUUAACACUGUCCUGCUAUAGAAACUAUUAGACUAGAGUGAGAUAGAGGCAAGUGGAAUUCCAUGUGUAGCGGUAAAAUGCGUAAAUAUAUGGAGGAACACCAGAGGCGUAGGCGGCUUACUGGGUCUUUACUGACGCUGAGGCACGAAAGCGUGGGGAGCAAACAGGAUUAGAUACCCUGGUAGUCCACGCCGUAAACGAUGAGUACUAAGUGUCGGGAUUACUCGGUACUGAAGUUAACACAUUAAGUACUCCGCCUGAGUAGUACGUACGCAAGUAUGAAACUUAAAGGAAUUGACGGGACUCCGCACAAGCGGUGGAUCAUGUUGUUUAAUUUGAAGAUACACGAAAAACCUUACCAGGUCUUGACAUACUCUGCAAAGCUAUAGCAAUAUAGUGGAGGUUAUCAGGGAUACAGGUGGUGCAUGGUUGUCGUCAGCUCGUGUCGUGAGAUGUUAGGUUAAGUCCUAAAACGAGCGCAACCCUUGUCAUUAGUUGCCAGCAUGUCAUGAUGGGCACUUUAAUGAGACUGCCAAUGAAAAAUUGGAGGAAGGUGAGGAUCACGUCAAAUCAUCAUGCCCCUUAUGAUCUGGGCUACAAACGUGAUACAAUGGCUGUUACAAAGAGUAGCUAAAACGCGAGUUUAUAGCCAAUCUCAAAAAAACAGUCUCAGUUCGGAUUGAAGUCUGCAACUCGACUUCAUGAAGUUGGAAUCGCUAGUAAUCGCGAAUCAGCAUGUCGCGGUGAAUACGUUCACGGGGUUUGUACACACCGCCCGUCA